rnacentral:rRNA from 1 species
GCCAGCAGACAUAUCACCCUGUAGCUCUCAACUGGCUACCCACUGAAGUUAAGCAGGGUUGAGCCUUGUCAGUACCUGGAUGUACACUUUACACCUCCUGGGAAGCUAUGGUUGCUGCUGGAA